GACGUAGGGUGCAAGCGUUGUCCGGAAUUAUUGGGCGUAAAGAGUUCGUAGGCGGUUACUUAAGUCUGGUGUUAAAUACGGGAGCUCAACUCCCGCAUGGCAUUGGAAACUGGGUAGCUAGAGUACGGUAGAGGUCUCGGGAAUUCCAGGUGUAGCGGUGAAAUGCGUAGAUAUCGGAAAGAACACCAACGGCGAAAGCACUCUGCUGGGCCGACACUGACACUGAGAGACGAAAGCUAGGGGAGCGAAUGGG
rnacentral:rRNA from 1 species